GAGAGGCUGAUUUGCAUAUUAAAAAGAUUGCCCAGCUGCUGGGUGAAGACUGCCUUUUAAAGGCGCAAAAAUAGAAAUAGGAAGACCAGCUAGGGAGGGAGCGGCUCAGCAACGCAGACAGGAAAUAAUCACUGUUAUUAUCUGCAGUCCUCCAGAGGAGCUCACAGCAGAACAUGAGCUGUGGUCAGACCUUCCAAGAAAACAGCAGAAACGAGGAACGGCAGCCAAGUUUCCCGUGCAGGCCAGUUCCAGUUGGCAAGAUGCUGAAGUACCCCCCCCCCCCCAUAUAUUGGGGAGAAGGCUCCAUGUGGCAGACAGUGAAGCAGAGGUUUCCUCUGCAGCUGCCCUCUCUCAGGCUGCUGCCUGGGCCCCAAACCCCGCAAGCAAAGCUGGCAGAAGAUGGCUGCCAACAAGCUUCACUGCAAAGAGAAUCGCUGUGAAGGCAUGUUUGGAGGCAGAGAAUAUUAUUCAAGGCAGUAAGAAUAUACAGAAGCUGGAGAGAUGGCUCAGCGGUUAAGAGCACUGACUACUCUUCCAAAGGUCCUGAGUUCAAAUCCCAGCAACUACAUGGUGGCUCACAAUCAUCUAUAAUGAGAUCUGAUGCCCUCUUCUGGGAUGUCUGAAGAAAGCUACAGUGUACUUACAUAUAUGCAGAAGGACUAGGCAGUGGUGGCGCAUUUUUGAGUUCGAGGUCAGCCUGGUCUACAAAGUGAGUUCCAGGAUAGCCAGGACUAUACAGAGAAACCCUGUCUCAAAAACAAAAACAAAAACAAAAAAAAACACCAAAAAACAAAACAAAACAAACUAAAAAAAGAAUAUGCAGAAGGACAAAGAACAUCAGAGGAGUUCCUAUACUUGUGGGCACACCCCAUAGGCCACACCCUCCAUAGGCCACACCCCCAUAGGCCACACCUCUCAGAGGACAGUCAGUAGUGCUGAGUGAAGGUGUUCAGCAAGGCUCAGCACGCUUUAGCACAGGUACACAAAAGCUGAUGUUAGGGACAUGUGAUGUCGAGUGGAACUCCUAACGCUUAAGAGAAAGACCAGAGAGUUCUAGCCAUUAGGGAGAAAGCAAUGACCUCUGCGAAGACAGCAUGCUUUCCUAUUACUUAGGUUUUUUACUUCUCUCGGUAGUGCUGCUCUUUAGUUCUGUGUAUGAAUUUUGUACAUCUUGGGGCCGAAACCAUAGCAGGGUGAGCGGAAGAGUAGUGUAUUGAUCCCAAACAUGCAGCAGGAAGCAUCGAACCUUCUUUGCUUGUAGGCGAAAUGUUAUUGUGCCCUCUGUAAAGAUUAUCCUUGUAUUAUUCAAAUGCUGAUUUCUGUGCCCUCCCAUAUCUGGUUGCAAUCCUUACUCUUAGAAUUUCUCGUCUCAGUGUUGUGUAAACAUUGCUCCCCAGUUAUUCCAUGAAUGGUCAAUAAAGCUAGCUGAUCACCCCAUGGCUGAACAGGGAAGAAAAUAGGGCUGGGCUUCCUCCCAUCCAGGGAAGAGAGAAGAGAGAGAGGGAGGGAGAGAGAGAGGACGAGGAGGAGGUGGGGAUUUGCCACCAGGGGAGAGUCUGGAAGAUGCCAUGGAAAAACACCUGGAGCAAAGAAAGCCAUGAAAUGCUAUUAUUUCAGGGAUUUUUGGCUGGGAGGUAGCUAGCUUAGUGUAGAGGAUUAAAAUAAAGUAAUACUGCUUAGUUGUUGUGCCCUUAAAGCUUGAUACAUAAAUGUAUUAGUCCAGUCUCAAUUAUUUGGGAGCUAGCUGGGUGAAAGAAAACUGCAAAACACUUAUUAAAACGCCAUUAACAUCGGCUCUCAGAGGCAACCUUCAUGGUCUGACUGUGGAAAGAAAGAAUGAGAGCCACCUUCAGAUUCAAAGCCUUUCUGGAGACCUGCAGCAGGCGGGUGCCAGCUCUAGCCACGGAAGGGGAGCCACCAAGAUCAGGACGCACGGCAAGGUUGGCUUUACAUUGGAAGUUGUCAAAGGGGAUGAACGGUAAAAUAGUCUGGACAGAGGCUAAGUGUUCUAUAAAAUACUCUUAAUUUUAAGAGGAACCGAAGUUAGAGUUAAAAUGGAAUUUUAUCUUUUUAAAGCUAUUGUAGGGGUGGAAAGAUGACUCAGACUAUUGGGAGUUUCUGUUCUUCCAGAGUACCCGGGUUUGGUUCCCAGCACCCUUGUUGGGUGACUAACAGCUACCUAUAAUUCCAGGGCAUCUGAUGCCCACUUCCGGCCUCCAUUCACAUCGCACACGCACAUGCACACACAGAAAGAGAGACUUUAAAAAUACAGUAAACCAUUUAUUAAGUGGUAAAAGUGAUCUCUAUCAAAAGUUGAGAAUGAGACAGAUCUAUUCAGAAGUCCUAGCCUGUGAGACACACCAUCUAACAAAUAUAGAAAUGUAUUAAGAGUUACUUAGGGAUCAACAAACCACCGUGAUUCCCAAAUUUAUCCCCGCCAUACAUACAUGCCACAUUAAUCCGUACAUGGUCAACUAUGGGGAUGAAUUCAUUAAAUUACCAAGGCUUCCAGGUUCUCAGUUAAGAUAGAAAAGACAGUGGUGCCCGUGCAGCAGCUUCUGUGAGACUCUCACCCAUGGUUUGAGUGCGGGUGACUUGGGUCUCCCACAUCCUUUUCUGGAAAGUGAAGAAACAGCUGUGGAUCAUCGUGGAGCCUCUUGUGGAAACACGCUGGACCAAGAACCAACAUUUCCCUCUAGAGCACUGGAUGAAACAGACUGAAGUACCUCAGGCUUUGUGAUGUCCAGGUGAUGAGAGGGGUUUCCCUCUUUUUUAGAGAAUCCGAAUCUCAGUCUCAACUGAGGACUGCUAUGGACCUGCAGGAACAGGAUCUCACUGUGGAGUCCUGGCUGGCCGGGGACUUUCUAUAUAGAGCAGGCUGGCCUCAGACUCACAACGAUCUGCUUGCUUCUGCUUCUGCUCAGAUUAAAAGCAUUCUUCACC
ensembl:lincRNA 4732419C18Rik RIKEN cDNA 4732419C18 gene